rnacentral:rRNA from 1 species
GAGUUUGAUCCUGGCUCAGAACGAACGCUGACGGUGCGUUUUAAGCAUGCAAGUCGAACGGUAAGAAAGUGCUUGCACUUUCAUAGAGUGGCGGACUGGUGAGUAACGCGUGGGUGACCUGCCUUUGAGAUGGGGAUAGCUGCUAGAAAUAGCAGGUAAUACCGAAUGUGUUUAUACAGAUUAAGCUGUAUAAAGAAAGGAGCUAUAGCUCCGCUCGAAGAUGGGCUUGCGUCCCAUUAGCUAGUUGGUAGGGUAAAGGCUUACCAAGGCGACGAUGGGUAUCCGGCCUGAGAGGGUGGACGGACACAUUGGGACUGAGAUACGGCCCAAACUCCUACGGGAGGCAGCAGCUAAGAAUCUUCCGCAAUGGGCGAAAGCCUGACGGAGCGACACCGUGUGAAUGAAGAAGGCUGAAAAGUUGUAAAAUUCUUUUGCAGAUGAAGAAUAAGGAUAAGAGGGAAUGCUUAUCUGAUGACUGUAAUUAUGCGAAUAAGCCCCGGCUAAUUACGUGCCAGCAGCCGCGGUAACACGUAAGGGGCGAGCGUUGUUCGGAAUUAUUGGGCGUAAAGGGCAUGUAGGCGGUUUGAUAAGCCUGAUGUGAAAUGUGUGAGCUUAACUCACGAACUGCAUUGGGUACUGUUGAACUGGAAUCAUAGAAGGGGAACUGGAAUUCCAAGUGUAGGGGUGGAAUCUGUAGAUAUUUGGAAGAACACCGGUGGCGAAGGCGAGUUUCUAGCUAAUGAUUGACGCUGAGGUGCGAAGGUGCGGGGAUCAAACAGGAUUAGAUACCCUGGUAGUCCGCACAGUAAACUAUGUACACUAGGUGUUGGGUGAAGAAUUCAGUGCCGCAGCAAACGCGAUAAGUGUACCGCCUGGGGAGUAUGCCUGCAAGGGUGAAACUCAAAGGAAUUGACGGGGACCCACACAAGCGGUGGAGCAUGUGGUUUAAUUCGAUGAUACGCGAGGAACCUUACCUGGGUUUGACAUCAAGAGCGAUGUUAUAGAGAUAUGGCAGCGUAGAAAUACGGUUCUUGACAGGUGCUGCAUGGCUGUCGUCAGCUCGUGCCGUGAGGUGUUGGGUUAAGUCCCGCAACGAGCGCAACCCCUACUACCAGUUGCUAACAGGUGAAGCUGAGGACUCUGGUGGAACUGCCGGUGACAAACCGGAGGAAGGUGGGGAUGACGUCAAGUCAUCAUGACCCUUAUGUCCAGGGCUACACACGUGCUACAAUGGUUGUUACAAAUCGAAGCGAAUCCGUAAGGUUAAGCGAAUCGCAAAAAAACAAUCGUAGUCCGGAUUGAAGUCUGAAACUCGACUUCAUGAAGAUGGAAUCGCUAGUAAUCGCACAUCAGCACGGUGCGGUGAAUACGUUCCUGGGUCUUGUACACACCGCCCGUCACACCAUCCGAGUCGAGGGUACCCGAAGUCGUUAGCUUAACCCGUAAGGGAGGGCGAUGCCGAAGGUAUGUUUGGUAAGGAGGGUGAAGUCGUAAC